rnacentral:rRNA from 1 species
GAUGAACGCUGGCGGCGUGCCUAAUACAUGCAAGUCGAGCGAACAGACGAGGAGCUUGCUCCUCUGACGUUAGCGGCGGACGGGUGAGUAACACGUGGAUAACCUACCUAUAAGACUGGGAUAACUUCGGGAAACCGGAGCUAAUACCGGAUAAUAUAUUGAACCGCAUGGUUCAAUAGUGAAAGACGGUUUUGCUGUCACUUAUAGAUGGAUCCGCGCCGCAUUAGCUAGUUGGUAAGGUAACGGCUUACCAAGGCAACGAUGCGUAGCCGACCUGAGAGGGUGAUCGGCCACACUGGAACUGAGACACGGUCCAGACUCCUACGGGAGGCAGCAGUAGGGAAUCUUCCGCAAAGGGCGAAAGCCUGACGGAGCAACGCCGCGUGAGUGAUGAAGGUCUUCGGAUCGCAAAACUCUGUUAUUAGGGAAGAACAAAUGUGUAAGUAACUAUGCACGUCUUGACGGUACCUAAUCAGAAAGCCACGGCUAACUACGUG